rnacentral:rRNA from 1 species
GAUGAACGCUAGCUACAGGCUUAACACAUGCAAGUCGAGGGGAAACGAUAUUGGAAGCUUGCUUCCGAUAGGCGUCGACCGGCGCACGGGUGAGUAACGCGUAUCCAACCUGCCCACCACUUGGGGAUAACCUUGCGAAAGUAAGACUAAUACCCAAUGAUAUCCAUAGAAGACAUCUGAAAGAGAUUAAAGAUUUAUCGGUGAUGGAUGGGGAUGCGUCUGAUUAGCUUGUUGGCGGGGUAACGGCCCACCAAGGCGACGAUCAGUAGGGGUUCUGAGAGGAAGGUCCCCCACAUUGGAACUGAGACACGGUCCAAACUCCUACGGGAGGCAGCAGUGAGGAGUAUUGGUCAAUGGACGAGAGUCUGAACCAGCCAAGUAGCGUGCAGGAUGACGGCCCUAUGGGUUGUAAACUGCUUUUAUAAGGGAAUAAAGUGAGCCUCGUGAGGCUUUUUGCAUGUACCUUAUGAAUAAGGACCGGCUAAUUCCGUGCCAGCCGCCGCGGUAA